CGUGCCUAAUACAUGCAAGUCGAACGGUCUUUCUAUGGAAGCUUGCUUCCACUGAGAAGAUAGUGGCGAACGGGUGAGUAACACGUGGGUAACCUGCCCAUAAGAGGGGGAUAACAUCCGGAAACGGGUGCUAAUACCGCAUAGUUUUCUUGAUCGCAUGAUCGGGAAAGGAAAGACGGCCUUUGUGCUGUCGCUUAUGGAUGGACCCGCGGCGUAUUAGUUAGUUGGUGAGGUAACGGCUCACCAAGACGAUGAUACGUAGCCGACCUGAGAGGGUGAUCGGCCACAUUGGGACUGAGACACGGCCCAAACUCCUACGGGAGGCAGCAGUAGGGAAUCUUCCGCAAUGGACGAAAGUCUGACGGAGCAACGCCGCGUGAGUGAAGAAGGUUUUCGGAAUCGUAAAACUCUGUUGUCAGAGAAGAACAAGUUGGAGAGUAACUGCUCCAGCCUUGACGGUAUCUGACCAGAAAGCCACGGCUAACUACGUGCCAGCAGCAGC
rnacentral:rRNA from 1 species